rnacentral:rRNA from 1 species
GGGUGCUAUACAUGCAGUUGAGCGCUGAAGGUUGGUACUUGUACCGACUGGAUGAGCAGCGAACGGGUGAGUAACGCGUGGGGAAUCUGCCUUUGAGCGGGGGACAACAUUUGGAAACGAAUGCUAAUACCGCAUAAAAACUUUAAACACAAGUUUUAAGUUUGAAAGAUGCAAUUGCAUCACUCAAAGAUGAUCCCGCGUUGUAUUAGCUAGUUGGUGAGGUAAAGGCUCACCAAGGCGAUGAUACAUAGCCGACCUGAGAGGGUGAUCGGCCACAUUGGGACUGAGACACGGCCCAAACUCCUACGGGAGGCAGCAGUAGGGAAUCUUCGGCAAUGGACGAAAGUCUGACCGAGCAACGCCGCGUGAGUGAAGAAGGUUUUCGGAUCGUAAAACUCUGUUGGUAGAGAAGAACGUUGGUGAGAGUGGAAAGCUCAUCAAGUGACGGUAACUACCCAGAAAGGGACGGCUAACUACGUGCCAGCAGCCGCGGUAAUACGUAGGUCCCGAGCGUUGUCCGGAUUUAUUGGGCGUAAAGCGAGCGCAGGUGGUUUAUUAAGUCU